AAGAGUUUCUCUAACCAAAUUUAUUAGCUACAAAUAUAGCAACAUAAUACAUAAAUUUAUUUUUGUAGCUAAAUUUGUUGCUAACUGUAGCAAUCUGUAGCUAAAUAGCUAUAGAAAAAUUUUGUAGGUGGUCUGUAGCUGAAUAGCUACGUCUUGGUUAGAGAUUGAUUAGCUACAUAUAUUUAUAUCCUCACAAUGCUACAAAUAGGAAAAAUAAUCAAAUUAAUAUAAAUUAUAAUAUUUCGUAUAUAUAUAUAUAUAUAAUGUAUGUAUUAAUAAGAUGAUUAUCGAUUAAUUUUACAAUGCAAAUUGAAUUUUAUGUUUUAAGAUAAACUUUUGAUGCACAUAUAUUAACAGCAGUAGUUCGGUAAAAUUAAUGGCUAGACACAUAUGCUGGUUUAAGUUUAGUCACUUAUAGUAAUUGUCAAGGAUCUUUUGUUAGGUUUAUAUUGAACAUUAUAGCUCUACUUAUAUAGUUUAUGUUAAUUGUGACAUUUCAUCGGUAUGUAUAACAAGGUCAAGAAUGUUUAAUUUUUUUCAAGUUAAGUUUUUAAAAUGGUAUGGAAGUUUUAUUAUUUGAGGAUACAUAUAUGACCAAUUUCUUGUCUGAUUUUUCUAUUCCAAUUUUAACUUUAACCCUAAACCUCAAAUCCUAAACCUCAAACCCUAAACCCUAUAAUAUACUCUCAUAUGUUAAAAGAGUUAAAACAAGCUAAUUUUUUAUUAGAAAUAAAAAGAAUUUUUACUUUAAAAAAAAAAACUCAUGCCUUAUACACUUUUAUCCUUUUAUCAAUUUAUUAUGUUGAUAUGUUUUUAUUUUCUUUGAAUAAUUAUGUGACGUUCAAUCAAUUACCAUAUGUACGCAAACUUAUUUAUAUAUAUUGAUAUAUUGGAGUUUAAUAAAUUUUAUUAUAAAGUUUGAAUUUGAAAAUGUUAUAACAUCGCUGCAUAUUGAAUUUUCCUAACAAUAUAUAGAUAAGUCUAGAAAAAACAUCGAAAUUAAUAAAAACCUGUCAAGGUCCCUAAAUCACGAGUGCUUGGCGGUGGAGAGAAAAAUUUUCACGCCAAAUUUUUGUAAUGGCGCCCGAAAUUUUCUCCAAAAUAUUCAAUUACUGCCAUAAAAUAAUUUCCCAAAUUUCUCCGCCAAAAUAUUUCUACACUUUCCUUUUAACUCUUCUUCUCCGUGGAAACAAACACUCUCAUCGCCGACAAAGACCAACCCUAUCCCACUUCUCAUUCACGACAAAUUACCAGAGCUUCUCUUAAUGGGCUCUAGUAUGCAUCCACCAAGAAAAGGCAAUUUCCCUACAAAAGCUACUAUUGGACAAGGCGCAACAACUUUCGUGAAGAACACAUCUUAGGCAGAUCAUGUAGAUGGGUGAGGAGCCAGCAAUACUGACUUAGAGGGGAAGAUCCACAUGAAUACUGUUGAAUAAAGUUGAGUCUAUUGUUAUUGUUAAGAUUCUGUAUUUCCCUUGCGACUCUUUUUGUGUUAUUGCUUAUUGGUAAAUGUUUGAUUACCUUUUUCUUUUGUUAUGGCUAUGUGGCAGUGUUAUGCUUUAUUGUAAGUUUAGUAAUUGUGUUUCUUGUUCUCUGGUUUCUUAGGCAGUCAAGCCACACAAAAGAUGUUUGUUUGGACGUGGAACAACACAAAUGGAGAACAAUUAUCACAUUGAUCCACCAGGCCGUCAUUCUUACUCGUCAAUCUUGUUCAGAGAAGGAGUUGAUUAGUUUGACUGAAACUGUCUACUUGAUGAGCUAGCAGCUCACUGCUUUGUGUGAAGCUAGAGGAGUGGCAAGCACUGAUGCAACUACCAAUCCUUCUCCAUCCUCACCUCCUAGCACCAAUGAGCAGAGAAUCUAGAUGAUGUUGAUGACUUUCUACAAUCAACUGAAGACAUAACAACUGGAAUCUUUUGUGUUUAGUUUGAACUUUUAUUAUGUCAUUAGUUUCCACCUAUUGGAUUUAAUAUUUUGUUUUCUACUAGUAACGAAUGCAAUGUUUCUAUUCUGUUUUGGGAAUUUCAGAUUUUUUUAUGCUGUAAUGUUUUAAAAUCAAUUUGGAUAAUACAAAACGAAAA